rnacentral:rRNA from 1 species
GACGAACGCUGGCGGCGUGCUUAACACAUGCAAGUCGAACGGAAAGGCCCUGCUUUUGUGGGGUGCUCGAGUGGCGAACGGGUGAGUAACACGUGAGUAACCUGCCCUUGACUUUGGGAUAACUUCAGGAAACUGGGGCUAAUACCGGAUAGGAGCUCCUGCUGCAUGGUGGGGGUUGGAAAGUUUCGGCGGUUGGGGAUGGACUCGCGGCUUAUCAGCUUGUUGGUGGGGUAGUGGCUUACCAAGGCUUUGACGGGUAGCCGGCCUGAGAGGGUGACCGGCCACAUUGGGACUGAGAUACGGCCCAGACUCCUACGGGAGGCAGCAGUGGGGAAUAUUGCACAAUGGGCGGAAGCCUGAUGCAGCAACGCCGCGUGCGGGAUGACGGCCUUCGGGUUGUAAACCGCUUUCGCCUGUGACGAAGCGUGAGUGACGGUAAUGGGUAAAGAAGCACCGGCUAACUACGUGCCAGCAGCCGCGGUGAUACGUAGGGUGCGAGCGUUGUCCGGAUUUAUUGGGCGUAAAGGGCUCGUAGGUGGUUGAUCGCGUCGGAAGUGUAAUCUUGGGGCUUAACCCUGAGCGUGCUUUCGAUACGGGUUGACUUGAGGAAGGUAGGGGAGAAUGGAAUUCCUGGUGGAGCGGUGGAAUGCGCAGAUAUCAGGAGGAACACCAGUGGCGAAGGCGGUUCUCUGGGCCUUUCCUGACGCUGAGGAGCGAAAGCGUGGGGAGCGAACAGGCUUAGAUACCCUGGUAGUCCACGCUGUAAACGGUGGGUACUAGGUGUGGGGUCCAUUCCACGGGUUCCGUGCCGUAGCUAACGCUUUAAGUACCCCGCCUGGGGAGUACGGCCGCAAGGCUAAAACUCAAAGGAAUUGACGGGGCCCCGCACAAGCGGCGGAGCAUGCGGAUUAAUUCGAUGCAACGCGUAGAACCUUACCUGGGUUUGACAUGGAUCGGGAGUGCUCAGAGAUGGGUGUGCCUCUUUUGGGGUCGGUUCACAGGUGGUGCAUGGCUGUCGUCAGCUCGUGUCGUGAGAUGUUGGGUUAAGUCCCGCAACGAGCGCAACCCUUGUUCACUGUUGCCAGCACGUUAUGGUGGGGACUCAGUGGAGACCGCCGGGGUCAACUCGGAGGAAGGUGGGGAUGACGUCAAGUCAUCAUGCCCCUUAUGUCCAGGGCUUCACGCAUGCUACGAUGGCUGGUACAGAGAGUGGCGAGCCUGUGAGGGUGAGCGAAUCUCGGAAAGCCGGUCUCAGUUCGGAUUGGGGUCUGCAACUCGACCUCAUGAAGUCGGAGUCGCUAGUAAUCGCAGAUCAGCAACGCUGCGGCGAAUACGUUCCCGGGGCU